rnacentral:rRNA from 1 species
GGGGGAUAAAUUAAUAAAGUAUAAAUAAUAAAAGAAUUUUUAAUAUUAAAUAACUUAAUGGGGGUUAAAGUAUAUUUAAUAGAAAAAAUUGAAAAAAUUUAUAGUAAAUUAGUAUUGUAAAAGAAAUUUGAAAUAUAUUGAAAAUAAAUUUAUGUAAAAGUAAAUUUAAUUUAUUGUAUCUUGUGUAUCAGAGUUUAUUAAUAAUAUUUUUUAUUUAAAAAUUUUCUCGAAUUUAAAAGAGAUAAUUAAUUAUUAAAGUUAAUGUUGAAUAAUUAUUUUAAAUAAUUAAUUUGAAAUGAAAUGUUAAUCGUUUUUAAAUAUAUCUAGUUUUUUUAGAAAAAAAUUUAAUUUUAAAUUUUAGAAUAUGUAUAAUUUUAAUUAGUUAAAAUUAUAUUUUUAAAAUUAAAUAUUUUAAGGGAUAAGCUUUAAAAUAAAUUUUUAUAAUAAAUUUUUAUAAUAAUUAAAAUUUUUAAAAUUUAUAUUGUUUAUAAAUUAUAAUUUUUUAUAAAUAAUUUUAAUUUAAUUAAAAUUUAAAAUUUAUUUAAUUUAUUUUUAUAAAAAAAUGUUUUAUAAUAAUUUAAAUUUAGAUAUAAUGAUAAAAUUAGUAUAUAAUUAAAUGAAAAUAAUUUAUUUUUUGAUAAUUUGAUAAAAGGAAUUCGGCAAAAAUUUAUAUUCACUUGUUUAUCAAAAACAUGUCUUUUUGAUUAAUAAUUUAAAGUCUAAUCUGCCCACUGAUAUAAUAUUAAAGGGCUGCAGUAUUUUGACUGUACAAAGGUAGCAUAAUCAUUAGUCUCUUAAUUGGUGACUUGUAUGAAAGAUUUGAUGAAAUAUAUACUGUCUCUUUUUGAUUUGUAAAAUUUAAUUUUUUAGUUAAAAAGCUAAAAUAUGUUUAAAAGACGAGAAGACCCUAUAGAGUUUUAUAUUUAUAUAAAUUAAAAUUUUUUGUAAGAUUUAAAAUUUUGAUAUAUUUAAAUAUUAUGUUGGGGUGAUGAAAAAAUUUGAAUAACUUUUUUUAUAAAUUAAACAUUUAUUGAUGAAUAUUUGAUCCGUAAUUUACGAUUAUAAGAAAAAAUUACCUUAGGGAUAACAGCGUAAUUUUUUUUUUAGUUCAAAUAAGAAUUAAAGUUUGCGACCUCGAUGUUGGAUUAAGAUAAAAUUUAAAUGCAAAAGUUUAAAAUUUUUGAUCUGUUCGAUCAUUAAAAUCUUACAUGAUCUGAGUUCAAACCGGUGUAAGCCAGGUUGGUUUCUAUCUUUAAAUUUAUAAAAUAUUUUAGUACGAAAGGAUCAGAUAUUUAAAAUAAUUUUAUAAAAUAAGAAUUUUAAUAAUAGUAUAUAAAUAU